UACGUAGGGGGCAAGCGUUGUCCGGAAUCAUUGGGCGUAAAGAGCGUGUAGGCGGCUCGAUAAGUCUGCUGUGAAAGUCCAGGGCUCAACCCUGGAAGGCCGGUGGAAACUGUCGGGCUAGAGUCCGGAAGAGGCGAGUGGAAUUCCCGGUGUAGCGGUGAAAUGCGUAGAUAUCAGGAGGAACACCAAUGGCGAAGGCAGCUCGCUGGGACGUGACUGACGCUGAGACGCGAAAGCGUGGGGAGCAAACAGG
rnacentral:rRNA from 1 species